rnacentral:misc_RNA from 1 species
GAAAUGCGAUAAGUAGUGUGAAUUGCAGAAUUCAGCGAAUCAUCGAAUCUUUGAACGCACAUUGCGCCCUUCGGUUAUUCCUUAGGGCAUGCCUGUUCGAGCGUCAUUUCAACCUUCAAGCCUGGCUUGGUGUUGGGCGCUGUCCCGCCUCCGCGCGCGGACUCGCCCCAAAUGAAUUGGCAGUCGCACCCUCCGAGCCGCGAGCGCAGCACAAGUCGCGCGGGCGGAACUCUGGGGGGACGGACGCUCCACAAGACCCUUUCUCAGUCUUGACCUCGGAUCAGGUAGGGAUACCCGCUGAACUUAA